UUGGAGGCAGCAGUGGGGAAUAUUGGUCAAUGGGCGCAAGCCUGAACCAGCCAUGCCGCGUGAAGGAUGAAGGCCCUAUGGGUUGUAAACUUCUUUUGUACGGGACGAAACUUUCUUACGUGUAAGGAACUGACGGUACUGUAUGAAUAAGCAACGGCUAACUCCGUGCCAGCAGCCGCGGUAAUACGGAGGUUGCAAGCGUUAUCCGGAUUUAUUGGGUUUAAAGGGUGCGUAGGCGGAAUUGUAAGUCAGUGGUGAAAACCUGCAGCUUAACUGUAGAACUGCCAUUGAUACUGCCAUUCUUGAGUAUAGUUGAGGUGGGCGGAAUGUGUAAUGUAGCGGUGAAAUGCUUAGAUAUUACACAGAACACCAAUUGCGUAGGCAGCUCACUAAACUGUAACUGACGCUGAGGCACGAAAGCGUGGGGAGCAAACAGGAUUAGAUACCCCGGU
rnacentral:rRNA from 1 species